rnacentral:rRNA from 1 species
UACAGAGGGUGCAAGCGUUAAUCGGAAUUACUGGGCGUAAAGCGCGCGUGGGUGGUUUGUUAAGUUGGAUGUGAAAGCCCCGGGCUCAACCUGGGAACUGCAUCCAAAACUGGCAAGCUAGAGUACGGUAGAGGGUGGUGGAAUUUCCUGUGUAGCGGUGAAAUGCGUAGAUAUAGGAAGGAACACCAGUGGCGAAGGCGACCACCUGGACUGAUACUGACACUGAGGUGCGAAAGCGUGGGGAGCAAACAGG